rnacentral:rRNA from 1 species
UACGUAGGGGGCUAGCGUUAUCCGGAUUUACUGGGCGUAAAGGGUGCGUAGGCGGUCUUUCAAGUCAGGAGUGAAAGGCUACGGCUCAACCGUAGUAAGCUCUUGAAACUGGGAGACUUGAGUGCAGGAGAGGAGAGUGGAAUUCCUAGUGUAGCGGUGAAAUGCGUAGAUAUUAGGAGGAACACCAGUAGCGAAGGCGGCUCUCUGGACUGUAACUGACGCUGAGGCACGAAAGCGUGGGGAGCGAACAGG